rnacentral:rRNA from 1 species
AUUGAACGCUGGCGGCAUGCCUUACACAUGCAAGUCGAACGGCAGCACGGGAGCAAUCCUGGUGGCGAGUGGCGAACGGGUGAGUAAAGUAUCGGAACGUGCCCAGUCGUGGGGGAUAACGUAGCGAAAGUUACGCUAAUACCGCAUACGAUCUAUGGAUGAAAGCGGGGGAUAGCAAGACCUCGCGUGAUUGGAGCGGCCGAUAUCAGAUGAGGUAGUUGGUGGGGUAAAGGCUCACCAAGCCGACGAUCUGUAGCUGGUCUGAGAGGACGACCAGCCACACUGGGACUGAGACACGGCCCAGACUCCUACGGGAGGCAGCAGUGGGGAAUUUUGGACAAUGGGCGAAAGCCUGAUCCAGCCAUGCCGCGUGCAGGAUGAAGGCCUUCGGGUUGUAGACUGCUUUCGUACGGAACGAAAAGGUUUGGCCUAAUAAGCUGAGCUCAUGACGGUACCGUAAGAAUAAGCACCGGCUAACUACGUGCCAGCCGCCGCCGUAA